GCAGGAUUCCCCAGGGGNUCGACGCGCUGCAAUGUCUUUCUCAGCAUUAGGCUUACUAGGAAUUUUUCAUUGAAGCUAUUGAGAAACAGAUGAGUGGGUCAGCCUGCACGAUCAAGUGUUCUAGAAUGUUUAUUCGGGAGAUUGCGAGACAACCUUGAAUUAUAUAUCUUUAAUUCCAUCCANCCAUGCUUCUUAGAAUUCUUACAUCACUAUGCGUGGUGUCACUUCUGUUUGUGAAUAGUGCUCAAGCCAAGAGAUUCGAUUAUAAAUUUUGUAUAGAACGUAGUAGCUUCAUCCACCUUAUUGAAAAGGAAUGUAAUACAUUACGGAUCAAAAAAUCACUUCAAGCUAGCCCUGUCCAACGAAGAGAAGUGGCUACAAGUUUCUUAUUCAAUAGGUUCUUCAAUAAACGAUAUCAAAAUAGCGAACCUUCAAGAAUAACCACAUACCANGAAGANUGCUGUCACGAGGGAUGUACAAGUGAAGAAAUUUAUGAAUACUGCUGACCGCAGACAUCGACGUCUCAAGCAGAGCUCUAACAAAGGAAUCCCAACAAUAAUAUUGUAAAUUCUCUAACGCUCGAAAUAAGACUUCCUCAAUAUAAUUGUGCAUUUGUUUGAAGAAAUCGUCGACAAUGAGCUUAAAAAGAUAAAAACAGUCAUAGUCAUGGAUGUUAAAUAUUCUUUCGUAGAAAUGAAGUAGUUUUUCUGUAAAAAUCGCAUUUGAAUAGGCAAUGUGCAGCGACGCCAUUUUGUGCAGCAAAGGAUGACGGUAGUUAUAGUCCUCGUACUUUUUUAUGUCUAAAAACAGUCCUGCUAACCAGUUUUUACUUUUUCUAAGCAAAAAUAGAAGUAUUUGUGCCGCUUCUUAAAAGAAAAUGUAAAAACUUUUAAGUAGAUUUUAGGGGCUAUGAAAAGUACGUGGACUAACAACUACCAUCAUGCUUUUCAGCACAAAAUGGCGUCUCCGCACAAGUUUUCGUCGUCAUAACGACUAUGUUGGAGCAAUGGACGCCUAAUGUAUAAUAUGACUAUUUUUGACUUGUCAAUCAUUCGCAAUUAAAUCAAACGACAAUAAAUAGAGCCAUUAAAAUGAAAAAUAAAGCAUUGUAUAGAUUGUAACUUGAA
rnacentral:lncRNA from 1 species